UACAGAGACUGCAAGCGUUAUUCGGAUUCACUGGGCGUAAAGGGUGCGCAGGCGGCCGUAUGUGUGAGGCGUGAAAGCCCGGGGCUUAACCCCGGAAUUGCACCUCAAACUAUACGGCUAGAGCAUUGGAGAGGGUAGCAGAAUUCAUGGUGUAGCAGUGAAAUGCGUAGAUAUCAUGAGGAAUACCAGAGGCGAAGGCGGCUACCUGGACAAUUGCUGACGCUCAGGCACAAAAGCGUGGGGAGCAAAAGGG
rnacentral:rRNA from 1 species